rnacentral:lncRNA from 1 species
UUUCACUUAGUUCUCUAUUCUUGUUGUUAAUCGUUUAUCUUGAUAUGCCUUAUCAUCCAAUUGAAUUUCUUGUUGAAUUUUUAGAACCCAAGUGGGGAAAUAUGAAAAGUUCAUAAGCUGAUACUUUUUGCAGCUCUGAGAGAUCUCUUUUCCCAUUACACGGAAGCAUGGAAAUUAUGGUACACUGAAGUUGCUGGGAAGAAACCAUUACACAUCUCCUAAUUUUUCCCAUUACACGGAAGCAUGGAAAUUAUGGUACACUGAAGUUGCUGAGAAGAAACCAUUACACCUCCUAAAUUCUGAUACUUUGUGGCUCUGCUUUUCGCUAUGACCAGUACAGUGUUGGGCUCUCAAAAUUCUUCUUUUUGUACUUUUUAGGACAGAAGAAAUGGCUUCAGGUUGGAUGCACAUUCCCCGUGCACCAUCUUAGCAUGGC